GUAAUGGAUUACAUCAGAAUGGUACGGCUGUAUGAGAGUAAUGGAUUACAUCAGAAUGGUACGGCUGUAUGAGAGUAAUGGAUUACAUCAGAAUGGUACGGCUGUAUGAGAGUAAUGGAUUACAUCAGACCGCAGCAUGUGAGACAUCCCGUGAGUUUACUAUCUGCAGGAAGUCAGCUGUGUGGAACCUUGCAGGAAGGAGGAGCACAUUAUGGUGUGAACUGUGACAGAACGCAGUUAUACGGUUGAGCCCUCGUGCUAUCUUAACAUGCACAGACAAACCCAUCGCCUUUUACACUGUGUUCCGCCCGUUUCCACCCAUCUGCUAAAUUGCCACAUAGACAAAAGAGGUUGUACUUUUUCUAUUUACAAAAACAAGUCACGACUAUGUUUGUUAAGUAUGCUGUAUCACAACCGGCUGUGAUUGGGAGUCCCAAUUGGUGAUUGGACGUCAGGCUCAGUUGGUUCUGCAUCUCUCUGGUAACAGCACAGAAGUGUGAUAAAUGUACACCUGGGUCUAUGUUGCUUACGGUCAUAAACACGUGAGAAAACGGCAGGAACUCACAUUGUAUCAGACCAGCCUCGAACUGUAUUGGUUCAUUUAUGGACUCUUUUUCUCUUAGACAUAACGUCAGAAUCUGGUUGUGGAUGUCCCAACACAGAUAAACAUAAGCAAUAACUUCAAUUCAGAUGAAUUGUAAGAAUACAUGUUGUUUGAAGCGUAUAUUCAAUAAAGCCUCUAUGCAACAGGUGCCAAAGCUGUCUGAGAGAUUCAAAUACCUUGUUUUUACGCUGGUCAGCAGCUGGUCCUUGUUCUUCUCAUCAAAGACUCCAUUCUCUCUCUCCAUCUUCCAUUACAUAGAUACACAACAGUAUGUGGACACCCCUUCAAAUUAGUGGAUUUGGCUAUUUCAGCCACACCUGCUGCUGACAGGUGUAUAAAAUUGAGCACACCGCCAUGCAAUCUCCAUAGACAAACAUUGAAAGUAGAAUGGCCUAACUGAAGAGCUCAGUGACUUUCAACAUGGCACCGUCAUAGGAUGCCACCUUUCCAACAAGUCAGUUCGUCAAAGUUCUGCCCUGCUAGAGCUGCCCCAGUCAACUCUAAGUGCUGUUAUUGUGAAGUGGAAACAUCUAGGAGCAACAACGGUUCAGCCGCAAAGUGGUAGGCCACACAAGCUCACAGAACAAGACCCCCGAGUGCUGAAGGGCGUAGCGCGUAAAAAUCAUCUGUCCUCGGUUGCAACACUCACUACUGAGUUCCAAACUGCUUCUGGAAGCAACGUCAGCACAAUAACUGUUCCUCAGGAGCUUCAUGCAAUGGCAGAGCAGCCGCACACAAGCCUAAGAUCACCAUGCGGAAUGCCAAGCAUUGGCUGGAGUAGUGAAAGCUUGCCGCCAUUGGACUCUGGAGCAGUGGAAACGCGUUCUCUGGAGUAAUGAAUCACGCUUCACCAUUUGGCAGUCCAACAGACGAAUCUGGGUUCGGCAGAUGCCAGGAGAAUGCUACCAGCCCCAAUGUAUAGGGCCAACUGUAAAGUUUGGUGGAUGAGGAAUAAUGGUCUCGGUCUGUUUUUCAUGGUUUGGGCUAGGCCCCUUAGUUCCAGUGAAGGGAAAUCUUAACGCUACAGCAUACAAUGAUACACUGACUCAACUCCAGCCACUUUAAUAAUGGGAAUUGAUGGGAAAUGAUGUAAAUAUAUCACUAGCCACUUUAAACAAUGCUACCUUAUAUAAUGUUACUUACCCUACAUUAUUCAUCUCAUAUGCAUACGUAUAUACUGUACUCAAUAUCAUCGACUGCAUCCUUAUGUAAUACAUGUAUCACUAGCCACUUUAACUAUGCCACUUUGUUUACAUACUCAUCUCAUAUGUAUAUACUGUACUCGAUACCAUCUACUGUAUCUUGCCUAUGCUGCUCUGUACCAUCACUCAUUCAUAUAUCCUUAUGUACAUAUUCUUUAUCCCCUUACACUGUGUAUAAGACAGUAGUUUUGGAAUUGUUAGUUAGAUUACUUGUUGGUUAUUACUGCAUUGUCGGAACUAGAAGCACAAGCAUUUCGCUAC
ensembl:lncRNA